GAAUGUAACCUAUAAUUUUUUUAAAUUUUCCUUUCUUUAGAAUAAUUUUAACUGUAAAAUGUUAUGUACGUCUUGAUCCUCUUGGAGGAGAAGGUAAACAAAAGAACCUGCACCGCUACAGACAUUAGUAACCAAAGAAUAACAGCAAGAAUUCUAAAUGCUGGAGGUUAAUCCUUUAGAGGGUGAUAAUGCAUCCUCUUCCACUCCUAAGUCAGUCUCCAGACGCUCUGUGCUUAGUAGUGUACCACUGGUCGACUUGAGACCAAAAGAACAUGAAAGUGACGUUAAAACCACACUUCCAACAUACAUGGAAUGUUUCAAAAUGAUUG